rnacentral:rRNA from 1 species
CCUACGGGAGGCAGCAGUGGGGAAUCUUGCGCAAUGGGCGAAAGCCUGACGCAGCCAUGCCGCGUGAAUGAUGAAGGUCUUAGGAUUGUAAAAUUCUUUCAGUAGGGACGAUAAUGACGGUACCUACAGAAGGAGCCCCGGCUAACUUCGUGCCAGCAGCCGCGGUAAUACGAAGGGGGCUAGCGUUGCUCGGAAUUACUGGGCGUAAAGGGAGCGUAGGCGGGUUAUCAAGUUGGAGGUGAAAGCCCAGGGCUCAACCUUGGAAUAGCCUUCAAAACUGAUAACCUAGAGGAUGGAAGAGGUAAGUGGAACUCCGAGUGUAGAGGUGAAAUUCGUAGAUAUUCGGAAGAACACCAGUGGCGAAGGCGACUUACUGGUCCAUUACUGACGCUGAGGCUCGAAAGCGUGGGGAGCAAACAGGAUUAGAUACCCUGGUAGUCCACGCUGUAAACGAUGAUUGCUAGUUGUCGGCAGGCAUGCCUGUCGGUGACGCAGCUAACGCAUUAAGCAAUCCGCCUGGGGAUACGGUCGCAAAGAUUAAAAACCUCAAAAGGUAUUAGUACGGCGUGAGGAACGUAGCCGACGAAGCACCGAGGAGGUAG